AUACGGAGGAUGCGAGCGUUAUCCGGAUUUAUUGGGUUUAAAGGGAGCGUAGGUGGGAUAUUAAGUCAGCUGUGAAAGUUUGGGGCUCAACCUUAAAAUUGCAGUUGAUACUGGUUUCCUUGAGUACGGUACAGGUGGGCGGAAUUCGUGGUGUAGCGGUGAAAUGCUUAGAUAUCACGAAGAACUCCGAUCGCGAAGGCAGCUCACCGGGCCGGAACUGACACUGAUGCUCGAAAGUGCGGGUAUCAAACAGGAUUAGAUACCCUGGUAGUCCGCACAGUAAACGAUGAAUACUCGCUGUUUGCGAUACACUGUAAGCGGCCAAGCGAAAGCGUUAAGUAUUCCACCUGGGGAGUACGCCGGCAUCGGUGAAACUCAAAUGAAUGGGCGGGG
rnacentral:rRNA from 1 species